AACGAACGCUAGCGGGAGGCUUAACACAUGCAAGUCGAGGGGUAAAUGGUAGCAAUACUAUGAGACCGGCGAACGGGUGCGUAACGCGUAUGCAACUUACCUUAUGCAGGGGGAUAGCCCGUGGAAACGCGGAUUAAUAUCCCAUAGAUCAGUAAUAUCGCAUGGUAUAACUGGUAAAACUCAGGUGGCAUAAGAUGGGCAUGCGUCUGAUUAGCUAGUUGGUAGGGUAACGGCCUACCAAGGCGACGAUCAGUAGGGGUUCUGAGAGGAUUAUCCCCCACACUGGUACUGAGACACGGACCAGACUCCUACGGGAGGCAGCAGUAAGGAAUAUUGGUCAAUGGGCGGAAGCCUGAACCAGCCAUGCCGCGUGCAGGAAGACGGCCUUAUGGGUUGUAAACUGCUUUUGUCAGGGAAUAAACCCUCGUUUGCGAACGAGGCUGAAGGUACCUGAAGAAUAAGCAUCGGCUAACUCCGUG
rnacentral:rRNA from 1 species